CAAUAGCGUAUAUUAAAGUUGUUGCAGUUAAAAAGCUCGUAGUUGGAUUUCUGGCAGGAGUGACCGGCCGCACACACUGUGUGUGAGUUGCGUCAUUCUGGCCAUCCUUGGUGAGAUCCUGUUUGGCAUUAAGUUGUCGGGCAGGGGAUAACCAUCGUUUACUGUGAAAAAAUUAGAGUGUUUAAAGCAGGCUUAUGCCGUUGAAUAUAUUAGCAUGGAAUAAUAAGAUAAGACUUGGGUCAUUAUUUUGUUGGUUUGCGGAUCGAGGUAAUGAUUAAUAGGGAUAGUUGGGGGUAUUCAUAUUUAAUUGUCAGAGGUGAAAUUCUUGGAUUUAUGAAAGAUGAACUUAGGCGAAAGCAUUUACCAAGGAUGUUUUCAUUAAUCAAGAACGAAAGUUAGGGAUCGAAGACGAUUAGAUACCGU
rnacentral:rRNA from 1 species